UACCAGCACCCCCGAGUGGUCGGGACGUUUUAUUGGGCCUAAAGCAUCCGUAGCCGGUUCUACAAGUCUUCCGUUAAAUCCAUCUGCUUAACAGAUGGGCUGCGGAAGAUACUAUAGAGCUAGGAGGCGGGAGAGGCAAGCGGUACUCGAUGGGUAGGGGUAAAAUCCGUUGAUCCAUUGAAGACCACCAGUGGCGAAGGCGGCUCACUGGUCCAUUACUGACGCUGAGGUGCGAAAGCGUGGGGAGCAAACAGG
rnacentral:rRNA from 1 species